rnacentral:rRNA from 1 species
CUACGGGUGGCAGCAGUGAGGAAUUUUGCGCAAUGGGGGAAACCCUGACGCAGCAACGCCGCGUGAGCGAAGAAGGCCCUCGGGUCGUAAAGCUCUGUCAAGUGGGAAAAAAAUUUUUUGAUCAAUAGUCAAAAGACUUGAUGGUACCACUGGAGGAAGCACCGGCUAACUCCGUGCCAGCAGCCGCGGUAAUACGGAGGGUGCGAGCGUUGUUCGGAUUUACUGGGCGUAAAGAGCGUGUAGGCGGUUUAGCAAGUCAGAUGUGAAAGCCCUGGGCUCAACCCGGGAAGUGCAUUUGAAACUGCUUCACUAGAGGAUGGGAGAGGAGAUUGGAAUUCCUGGUGUAGAGGUGAAAUUCGUAGAUAUCAGGAGGAACACCCGUGGCGAAGGCGAUUCUCUGGACCAAUACUGACGCUGAGACGCGAAAGCGUGGGGAGCAAACAGGAUUAGAUACCUUGUAGUC